AACGUAGGUUCCGAGCGUUAUCCGGAUUUACUGGGCGUAAAGCGCGUUCAGGCGGUUUGGCAAGUCGGGCAUGAAAUCUCUCGGCUCAACCGGGAGAGGUUGUCCGAUACUUCCAGACUUGAGGGCAGUAGAGGGUGGUGGAAUUCCGGGUGUAGUGGUGAAAUGCGUAGAUAUCCGGAGGAACACCAGUGGCGAAAGCGGCCACCUGGACCGUAGCUGACGCUGAGACACGAAAGCGUGGGUAGCAAACAGG
rnacentral:rRNA from 1 species